rnacentral:rRNA from 1 species
AGAGUUUGAUCAUGGCUCAGGGUGAAUGCAGCGGCAUCGUAAGAUGACAGUUGUUAAAGAUUUAUCGCUUGAAGAGGAGCUUGCGGCAGAUUAGCUAGUUGGUAAGGUAAUGGCUUACCAAGGCUACGAUCUGUAACCGGUCUUAGAGGACGGUCGGUCACACUGACACUGAAUAACGGGUCAGACUCCUACGGGAGGCAGCAGUCGGGAAUUUUGGGCAAUGGGCGAAAGCCUGACCCAGCAACGCCGCGUGAAGGAUGAAGUAUUUCGGUAUGUAAACUUCGAAAGAAUAGGAAGAAUAAAUGACGGUACUAUUUAUAAGGUCCGGCUAACUACGUG